rnacentral:snRNA from 1 species
GUUCAUUCCUGAACAUAUACUAAAAUUGGGACAAUAUAGAGAAGAUUAGCAUGGCCACUGUGCAAGGAUGACACGCAAAACUGCUUACACAUCUAG